rnacentral:rRNA from 1 species
UACAGAGGCCUCGAGCGUUAGGCGGAAUCACUGGGCUUAAAGCGUGUGUAGGCGGAUCGUUAAGUACCUUGUGAAAUCCCACGGCUCACCCGUGGAACUGCUGGGUAUACUGGCGAUCUUGGGCCAACUAGGGGCAGCUGGAACAAGCGGUGGAGCGGUGAAAUGCGUAGAUAUCGCUUGGAACGCCGAAGGUGAAAACAGGCUGCUGGGGUUGUGCCGACGCUGAGACACGAAAGCCAGGGGAGCAAACGGG